UUCAUAAGAGGUAUUACUUGAAUGUCCCCCAUCUCAUCUGAUCUCGGAAGCUAAGCAGGGUUGGGCCUGUUCAGUAGUCGGAUGGGAGAUAUUGGUUUAUAGUUUUCUUGUGGUA
rnacentral:rRNA from 1 species